GGAAAAGGCCUUUGUUUAGUAGUUAGAGCAUCUGCUCUGCAUGCAGAAGGCUCUGGGUUCAAUCCCCAUAGUCUCUCCA